GUGGGGAAUAUUGGGCAAUGGGCGCAAGCCUGACCCAGCAACGCCGCGUGAAGGAAGAAGGUCUUCGGAUUGUAAACUUCUGUCAUUGGGGACGAAGGAAGUGACGGUACCCAAUGAGGAAGCCCCGGCUAACUACGUGCCAGCAGCCGCGGUAAUACGUAGGGGGCGAGCGUUGUCCGGAAUUACUGGGCGUAAAGGGUGCGUAGGCGGCGAUGCAAGUCCAUUGUGAAAAGCCCGGGCUUAACCUGGGAGGUGCAGUGGAAACUGCAUGGCUUGAGUGCAGGAGAGGAAAGUGGAAUUCCUAGUGUAGCGGUGAAAUGCGUAGAUAUUAGGAGGAACACCAGUGGCGAAGGCGGCUUUCUGGACUGUAACUGACGCUGAGGCACGAAAGCGUGGGGAGCAAACAGGAUUAGAAACCCGGGUAGUCC
rnacentral:rRNA from 1 species